rnacentral:rRNA from 1 species
UACGUAGGGCGCGAGCGUUGUCCGGAAUUAUUGGGCGUAAAGAGCUCGUAGGCGGCCUGUUGCGUCUGCUGUGAAAUCCCGGGGCUUAACCCCGGGCGUGCAGUGGAUACGGGCAGGCUGGAGGCAGGCAGGGGAGAAUGGAAUUCCCGAUGUAGCGGUGAAAUGCGCAGAUAUCGGGAGGAACACCGGUGGCGAAGGCGGUUCUCUGGGCCUGUUCUGACGCUGAGGAGCGAAAGCGUGGGGAGCGAACAGG